UAGCUCAGUGGUAGAGCAUAUGCUUAGCAUGCAUGAGGUCCUGGGUUCAAUCCCCAG
rnacentral:tRNA from 1 species